GACUCGGCCGGAUGGUCCGCCUAACGGUGUGUACUGUCUGGCUGGGCCUUACCUCUUGGUGAGCCGGCGUGCCCUUAACUGGUGUGCGUCGGGGAACCAGGACUUUUACCUUGAGAAAAUUAGAGUGUUCAAAGCAGGCUUUUGCCCGAAUACAUUAGCAUGGAAUAAUAAAAUAGGACG
rnacentral:rRNA from 1 species